GGCGGAUGGGUGAGUAACACGCUGGGGAACCUGCCCCUAAGUCUGGGAAUACCAUUUGGAAACAGGUGCUAAUACCGGAUAAUAAAGCAGAUCGCAUGAUCAGCUUUUGAAAGGCGGCGUAAGCUGUCGCUAAGGGAUGGCCCCGCGGUGCAUUAGCUAGUUGGUAAGGUAACGGCUUACCAAGGCGACGAUGCAUAGCCGAGUUGAGAGACUGAUCGGCCACAUUGGGACUGAGACACGGCCCAAACUCCUACGGGAGGCAGCAGUAGGGAAUCUUCCACAAUGGACGCAAGUCUGAUGGAGCAACGCCGCGUGAGUGAAGAAGGUUUUCGGAUCGUAAAGCUCUGUUGUUGGUGAAGAAGGAUAGAGGUAGUAACUGGCCUUUAUUUGACGGUAAUCAACCAGAAAGUCACGGCUAACUACGUGCCAGCAGCCGCGGUAAUACGUAGGUGGCAAGCGUUGUCCGGAUUUAUUGUGCGUAAAGCGAGCGCAGGCGGAAAAAUAAGUCUAAUGUGAAAGCCCCUCGGCUUUAACCGAGGAAACUGCAUCGGAAACUGUUUUUCUUGAGUGCAGAAAGAGGAGAGUGGAACUCCAUGUGUAGCGGUGGAAUGC
rnacentral:rRNA from 1 species